GAUGCAACUAUCGAUGGCGAACAAAUUGUUUGGACUGAAGUUAGCAAACAGGUGCAGGAAUGGUUUGACUCUACAUGGAAUAGUGAUGCUAAAGCGGCUAUCGUAGAAACGGUUCGAUGUUCGGUGGAUUCUAUUAUCAAUCCAUGCACAAUAGCUGACUUAACUAGUGGAAAUUUUGAGUGUUUGAGAGACCAAAUUGACCCAACCUGCCUUACCCCAACCACCGGACCUACAACAAUCCCGACGACUACUAGUGGUGCAAUCUCCCCCAUUUUUAAUGCGUUCGUUUUUCUAACUUUAGGUUUUGUAAUUCUCA